AUACGGAGGGUGCGAGCGUUGUUCGGAAUUAUUGGGCGUAAAGAGUACGUAGGCGGUUUGGUAAGUCAGGUGUGAAAUCCCGGAGCUCAACUCCGGAACUGCAUCCGAUACUGCCAGACUUGAGUAAUGGAGAGGCAGGUGGAAUUCUCGGUGUAGCAGUGAAAUGCGUGGAUAUCGAGAGGAAGACCAAUGGCGAAGGCAGCCUGCUGGACAUUUACUGACGCUGAGGUACGAAGGCUAGGGGAGCGAAAGGGAUUAGAAACCCCGGUAGUCC
rnacentral:rRNA from 1 species